rnacentral:lncRNA from 1 species
UGAGUUGAUACCUAAAUCUUCAUAAUAAAAAUUCAAAAGUCAAAAUCGAGUUCAAAUUCAAAACCACCUCCUUCUUCUUCUCCUUCCUCCCCCUCUUCUUCCUCUUCUUCUCCUUCGUAGCCUUACUCUCUAGAGUUCUUAUGAUGACCAUGUAACAAUUUUUUCGCGAUUUUACCAGCAAUUUUUUUCACCAAAUUCUUCUUCUUAUCAUGAUCAUCAAUAUCCUCUUUCUUAUCUACAUUGCUUUCAUCAUUAACCUCAUGAGUCUCUUCUGACUUGUUUUGAGCUGCUGCUGGAUCAUCUCCAUGUUUGUGGUGGUGUAUAUGUAGCUUCUCUUCAAUCUUGUGCAAGAUUCUUGACAUAUUGCUAGUCUAUAAGUGUAAAGAAUGGAUCUUGGGCCUAACUCAACCUCAAAAAUUAGCUCUUGAGGUGAGGAUUGCCCAAGUCCAUAUAAGCAAACCACCAGUCCAUUCCCCAACCAAUGUGUGACUUUUUACCCACUCUAACACCCCCCUCACGUCCAGGCCCAACUGGUACUGACGCGUGGACCACGAGCCCAAAACGGGGAUGAACUUAACUCUGGUACUAUGUAAAGAAUGAAUCUUGGGCCUAACUCAACCUCAAAAAUUAGCUCUUGAGGUGAGAAUUGCCCAAGUACAUAUAAACAAACCACCAGUCCAUUCUUCAACUAAUGUGGGACUUUUUACCCACUCUAACAAUAAGUUGUUAAUGCAGUGAUGAAAUAGAAGUGACGAAUAUG